UAGAAGUGAGAAUGCCGGUAUGAGUAGCGAAAGAAGGGUGAGAAUCCCUUCCACCGAAUAUCUAAGGUUUCCUGAGGAAGGCUCGUCCGCUCAGGGUUAGUCGGGACCUAAGCCGAGGCCGAUAGGCGUAGGCGAUGGACAACAGGUAGAGAUUCCUGUACCAGUGCUAAUUGUUUAACCGAUGGGGUGACACAGAAGGAUAGGGAAUCGCACGAAUGGAAAUGUGCGUCCAAGCAGUGAGUGUGAGAAGUAGGCAAAUCCGCUUCUCGCGAAGCAUGAGCUGUGAUGGGGAAGGAAAUUAAGUACGGAAGUUCCUGAUUUCACGCUGUCAAGAAAAGCCUCUAGGAAGAGUAGUACUGCCCGUACCGCAAACCGACACAGGUAGAUGAGGAGAGAAUCCUAAGGUGAGCGAGAGAACUCUCGUUAAGGAACUCGGCAAAAUGACCCCGUAACUUCGGGAGAAGGGGUGCUCUAUUAGGGUGCAAGCCCGAGAGAGCCGCAGUGAAUAGGCCCAGGCGACUGUUUAGCAAAAACACAGGUCUCUGCAAAACCGUAAGGUGACGUAUAGGGGCUGACGCCUGCCCGGUGCUGGAAGGUUAAGAGGAGUGCUUAGCUUCGGCGAAGGUACGAAUUGAAGCCCCAGUAAACGGCGGCCGUAACUAUAACGGUCCUAAGGUAGCGAAAUUCCUUGUCGGGUAAGUUCCGACCCGCACGAAAGGCGCAACGAUCUGGGCACUGUCUCAACGAGAGACUCGGUGAAAUUAUAGUACCUGUGAAGAUGCAGGUUACCCGCGACAGGACGGAAAGACCCCGUGGAGCUUUACUGCAACCUGAUAUGGAAUGUUUGUACCGCUUGUACAGGAUAGGUAGGAGCCGAAGAGACGUGUGCGCUAGCAUACGAGGAGGCAAUGGUGGGAUACUACCCUGGCUGUA
rnacentral:rRNA from 1 species